UACGUAGGGUGCAAGCGUUGUCCGGAAUUAUUGGGCGUAAAGAGCUCGUAGGCGGUCUGUCACGUCUGCUGUGAAAACUCGGGGCUUAACCCCGGGCCUGCAGUGGGUACGGGCAGACUAGAGUGCGGUAGGGGAGACUGGAAUUCCUGGUGUAGCGGUGAAAUGCGCAGAUAUCAGGAGGAACACCAAUUGCGAAGGCAGCUCGCUGGGACGUUACUGACGCUGAGACGCGAAAGCGUGGGGAGCAAACAGG
rnacentral:rRNA from 1 species